AAUAAUCGAGCAGUUUUGUUGGACUUCAGGCUUCUCGCACAGUUCAGAAAAAUUGGUUGAUAUCGUGGGUACUUUAGACAAUGACAUGGACCUUGUUUUUGUGGUUGGAGCAAUGGCCCAUGGGAAAAUUGAUAAAGAUUAUGUAGAAGAUUAUCUAUCAAGUAAGCAAAUUUUCAAUUGUUUCUCUCUUCUGUGAUCUGUAAAUAGUAUUUUAAAUCACUACAAUGGCAGUCAGUAAAUAUCAUCUGUAUAACAAUGUUGCUUUCAACUCAUAUGAUUUCACUCAUUCUUUAACACAGUAAAUUUUUUGUUCAUGUCAUGCUUUAAAAGGAUGCCAACUCUAGUCAUCAAAGGAAUAUAAUCUGAUUUAAGCACGCCUGUUAAUUCGGUUACAUGUGAAUGAGUGUUCCUUUUCUCAAGCAUUUGGGAUUACUUUACCCAAUUUGACAUAUGACAUCAAGUAAUUCUCAUCAAAUUUUCAUCUGGCUGUUUCUGAGUGCUGCAUACUGCAUAUCGAUAAUCACUGCAGCAGUGGAGCGCAAGUGGAAGAUUUUGUGAACUAGUUACUUUUCUUUUUCAGUCGUUAGCUAAGAGAAUAUUGCUGUAAUGGCCUUGGAAGAUUUUAGUUCAGUAUGUAGGCGGCAUCAAAAGUAUUGUUCCUAAACGAGCUUUUGUGAGUUUGAACAUAAGAAAUGUAGAAUAGAUUAGAAUGCAAUAAACACGGGAAAUUACGUGCA